UAGAAUGAUGAAGACCUAUAGGAUACAGCCUCCUACAGGAAGGUAAAUGGUGGUUUCUUCUGUCUUCUCUCUGUUGGUGGAUAGAAUGAUGAAGACCUAUAGGAUACAGCCUCCUACAGGAAGGUAAAUGGUGGUUUCUUCUGUCUUCUCUCUGUUGGUGGAUAGAAUGAUGAAGACCUAUAGGAUACAGCCUCCUACAGGAAGGUAAAUGGUGGUUUCUACCCUCUUCUCUCUGUUAGUGGAUAGAAUGAUGAAGACCUAUAGGAUACAGCCUCCUACAGGAAGGUAAAUGGUGGUUUCUUCUGUCUUCUCUCUGUUGGUGGAUAGAAUGAUGAAGACCUAUAGGAUACAGCCUCCUACAGGAAGGUAAAUGGUGGUUUCUUCUGUCUUCUCUCUGUUGGUGGAUAGAAUGAUGAAGACCUAUAGGAUACAGCCUCCUACAGGAAGGUAAAUGGUGGUUUCUCACCUCUUCUCUCUGUUGGUGGAUAGAAUGAUGAAGACCUAUAGGAUACAGCCUCCUACAGGAAGGUAAAUGGUGGUUUCUUCUGUCUUCUCUCUGUUGGUGGAUAGAAUGAUGAAGACCUAUAGGAUACAGCCUCCUACAGGAAGGUAAAUGGUGGUUUCUUCUGUCUUCUCUCUGUUGGUGGAUAGAAUGAUGAAGACCUAUAGGAUACAGCCUCCUACAGGAAGGUAAAUGGUGGUUUCUCACCUCUUCUCUCUGUUGGUGGAUAGAAUGAUGAAGACCUAUAGGAUACAGCCUCCUACAGGAAGGUAAAUGGUGGUUUCUACCCUCUUCUCUCUGUUAGUGGAUAGAAUGAUGAAGACCUAUAGGAUACAGCCUCCUACAGGAAGGUAAAUGGUGGUUUCUCCCCUCUUCUCUCUGUUGGUGGAUAGAAUGAUGAAGACCUAUAGGAUACAGCCUCCUACAGGAAGGUAAAUGGUGGUUUCUUCUGUCUUCUCUCUGUUGGUGGAUAGAAUGAUGAAGACCUAUAGGAUACAGCCUCCUACAGGAAGGUAAAUGGUGGUUUCUACCCUCUUCUCUCUGUUAGUGGAUAGAAUGAUGAAGACCUAUAGGAUACAGCCUCCUACAGGAAGGUAAAUGGUGGUUUCUUCUGUCUUCUCUCUGUUGGUGGAUAGAAUGAUGAAGACCUAUAGGAUACAGCCUCCUACAGGAAGGUAAAUGGUGGUUUCUACCCUCUUCUCUCUGUUAGUGGAUAGAAUGAUGAAGACCUAUAGGAUACAGCCUCCUACAGGAAGGUAAAUGGUGGUUUCUUCUGUCUUCUCUCUGUUGGUGGAUAGAAUGAUGAAGACCUAUAGGAUACAGCCUCCUACAGGAAGGUAAAUGGUGGUUUCUUCUGUCUUCUCUCUGUUAGUGGAUAGAAUGAUGAAGACCUAUAGGAUACAGCCUCCUACAGGAAGGUAAAUGGUGGUUUCUACCCUCUUCUCUCUGUUAGUGGAUAGAAUGAUGAAGACCUAUAGGAUACAGCCUCCUACAGGAAGGUAAAAUGGUGGUUUCUACCCUCUUCUCUCUGUUAGUGGAUAGAAUGAUGAAGACCUAUAGGAUACAGCCUCCUACAGGAAGGUAAAUGGUGGUUUCUACCCUCUUCUCUCUGUUAGUGGAUAGAAUGAUGAAGACCUAUAGGAUACAGCCUCCUACAGGAAGGUAAAUGGUGGU